UAAGGAGACGUAGAUGGUGAUGAUGAUGAUGAUGAAUCAAAAUUACAUGCUAUCGAGUAGUUCAUAAUACAGAAAUCAUCCUCAUCAUCGUCAUCACCGCCAUCAUCACCA
rnacentral:miRNA from 1 species